UAAAUAUUAAUAUAUAGACAUUCUAAAUACUAUAAAAUAAUUUGAAUUAAUUAACCUUUUAUUUUUCCAUUCCUAUUAUACAGAUUUACUGAUAUGUAUUACUGAAAUGUAUAUAUAUAUAUAUAUAUAUAUAUAUGUAGGCUGGGGCUACUAUACUCUUAUGAGUAUAGACCCCUUUAUACUCAUAAAUUUUUAACCGUUGAUUGAUGGAAUGUGUGGUUAGGAUGAUGGUGGUACCCACUUAGAAUGAUAGUGGCUCCCUAGGGUUGAGUGAGUAGUUGGUUGAAUAGUAUGAUCUAAUGGGUGGAAAUGAUCAAUGGAAUAAAUCUAAGGGCCGAAAACUUAUGAAUAUAAGGGAGCCAAUACUCAUAAAAGUAUAGUAGCCGGACUAUAUAUAUAUAU
rnacentral:lncRNA from 1 species